CGAAGGUGCAAGCGUUACUCGGAAUUACUGGCGUAAGCGUGCGUAGGUGGUUGUUAAGUCUGAUGUGAAAGCCCUGGGCUCAACCUGGGAACUGCAUUGGAUACUGGGCAACUGGAGUGCGGUAGAGGAUAGCGGAAUUCCCGGUGUAGCAGUGAAAUGCGUAGAUAUCGGGAGGAACAUCUGUGGCGAAGGCGGCUAUCUGGACCAGCACUGACACUGAGGCACGAAAGCGUGGGAGCAAACAGGAUU
rnacentral:rRNA from 1 species